rnacentral:rRNA from 1 species
GACGAACGCUGGCGGCGUGCUUAACACAUGCAAGUCGAACGGAAAGGCCCUGCUUUUGUGGGGUGCUCGAGUGGCGAACGGGUGAGUAACACGUGAGUAACCUGCCCUUGACUUUGGGAUAACUUCAGGAAACUGGGGCUAAUACCGGAUAGGAGCUCCUGCUGCAUGGGGGGGGUUGGAAAGUUUCGGCGGUUGGGGAUGGACUCGCGGCUUAUCAGCUUGUUGGUGGGGUAGUGGCUUACCAAGGCUUUGACGGGUAGCCGGCCUGAGAGGGUGACCGGCCACAUUGGGACUGAGAUACGGCCCAGACUCCUGCGGGAGGCAGCAGUGGGGAAUAUUGCACAAUGGGCGGAAGCCUGAUGCAGCAACGCCGCGUGCGGGAUGACGGCCUUCGGGUUGUAAACCGCUUUCGCCUGUGACGAAGCGUGAGUGACGGUAAUGGGUAAAGAAGCACCGGCUAACUACGUG